UACGUAGGGUGCAAGCGUUGUCCGGAAUUAUUGGGCGUAAAGAGCUCGUAGGCGGUUUGUCGCGUCUGCUGUGAAAACCCGAGGCUCAACCUCGGGCCUGCAGUGGGUACGGGCAGACUAGAGUGCGGUAGGGGAGAUUGGAAUUCCUGGUGUAGCGGUGGAAUGCGCAGAUAUCAGGAGGAACACCAAUGGCGAAGGCAGAUCUCUGGGCCGUAACUGACGCUGAGGAGCGAAAGCGUGGGGAGCAAACGGG
rnacentral:rRNA from 1 species